rnacentral:tRNA from 1 species
UUUUCUUCGGUGUGCGGCACAGGAAGGUUUGAGCUUCCAAGAGGGUAUACCCCAUGAAAAC